AUCUUGUGUUGUUGAGGCUGAGGACUGACUGGGGUUCUGAGACUCCCUGUCCCGGACCGCAGAUUAUAGUGGGACCAGUCUCAUUAGGUUGAAUCUACAGCCUAUGUUGGUGUUAACCCAGGUCUCUUAGAGCGUUAAAAGGAUCUGAACAAAGUCUGCUCAAAUCUCCUGCUGUGAACCAGCAGAAUUUUUGAACAGGUUUCUUCACAUAUAAAAAUCUAUUGUAAAAAUACGGAAAAGAAUGGCAGCGGAAACGCAGACACUGAACUUUGGGCCUGAAUGUCUCUUACAGAUGUGUUUGGACCCCGAAUAUGGAAUUCUCAUGGAAUUUUGAGAUCCAUCACAUUGUAGUGUGGCUUCCCCCCCUCCCCUCCUUCCUUUUUCCCCAAAGUUGGUGAUUGAAGAUCCUCUCUUCAGUGGCAUCAAUAAUAAUAAUUACUUUUUCUAUUCAAACCUCGGGCAACCCCUUUGGUAAUAUCAGAAGUAGUAUCUAAAAUAGAUAAAUUGGAUUUGUGUCUUAAACUCUUGGUUGUUCAGGUGGGAGUGGUUCAAUAAAUGAUGCAGACUUCCUGUAGUAACUCUAUUUGAGGAGUCUUAUUAACUUAUCCUAUUAGAAAUAUUUCUUUUUAUUAAUAUAUGUAACCUCGAAGUUUUCUUAACCUUUAUAGCCAGCAUUUGGAGACUGAGGAGAAAUCACUAUUUGAAGUUCUAAGAACUGAUGGAACUCCUGUAUUUUGAGAGUUUAUUUAGAACAUGUUAACCUAAGUAAUGCUGUACUUGUUUUAGUUAUUCCUUUAUAUUUUUAAAAUGAUUUUCUUAUUAUCA
rnacentral:sRNA from 1 species